GAAAAAAAACAACUAACAUUCAGGGGUACAGGGGGCUGAAGCAUAUCCCAUCAUGCAUUGGGCGCAAACCAGGGACAGUGGUCAUGUCUCCAGUCCGUACUGAAACCUACUGUGUAGACAAGCACAUUCACACCUACGGGCAAUUUAAAGUUUACAUUUCACUAUGUGUGCAUUUCUUUGGACUGUGGGAUAGAACAGGAGCACCCAGAGUGCCCUAACACCACCCCCGG